rnacentral:rRNA from 1 species
CACGUAGGGCGCGAGCGUUGUCCGGAAUUAUUGGGCGUAAAGAGCUCGUAGGCGGUCUGUCGCGUCGGUCGUGAAAACUUGGGGCUUAACCCUGAGCUUGCGGUCGAUACGGGCAUGACUGGAGUUCGGUAGGGGAGACUGGAAUUCCUGGUGUAGCGGUGAAAUGCGCAGAUAUCAGGAGGAACACCGGUGGCGAAGGCGGGUCUCUGGGCCGAUACUGACGCUGAGGAGCGAAAGCGUGGGGAGCGAACAGG